rnacentral:lncRNA from 1 species
UAAAAAUAUGAUUUUCAUAUUUCUAAUUUNAUCCAGUUUCUUUAUCUGUAGCUACCACUUUUCACACUUGUAUCAAAUAGUUUUGUUGAUUCUUCUUCUUGGUCGUUCAGAAGGGAUUAACAUGUUCAUAUUUUUUUGUAUUUUUGUAAUUGGCGUGGAUGGUUUACUGCAAAGGACACACAAAUUUGUUUUAUUCAGAAUAAUAUCAUUCCAAUAUGCUACAAAAGAGAGAAUGCUUGAUUGCUUUCUUGAUUGUAAAUUUCAUUGUUUUUUCUUGUUAAUUGGGUUAGAAUCAUUAGCAA